CUUCUCUGGACUUCUGGAGAGCUGCACGCUUUCUGCUCAGUCCUGCGUCAAUUGAUAACCUUUGACCACUGACAAUACAACGCUCUUUUCAAGUUUUAUUGUGUACACAGAAGUAUUUUACCCAACAUUAAAUCAAACAGGAGAAAUGGCGCAAACGAAUCUGACGAUUUCCAACCAGGAGCCAGCAGGGUCAUCUGAACAGUUCAACGCAGAACAUAUGAGCCUGAGCGAAAUCUGCAAAGAUCUUAAGUCUAUGCGCAUGAAAAUUCACUUGAGCAGAAUACACGUUGAAGGAUGGGGAUCUUUGAAGGUUAAAGAUGAUAAAUAUGAGAAUCACAGGCAGGAGGAAGCCAUUGCUAGGAGAAAAUGUGAAACCCUUCAAAAAGAGACAUCAAAGGCUGGAAGUAGAGGUGGAAUUGCAGCGGAAAAGGUUGGAGCACUUAAAACAUGUGGAGUCAAACGCUGCAUCCAUAACAAAGGAGAAUGAGGAGUAUGACCAAAAAAUUCACCUCCUGGAGACCACACUGCAAAAGGUAACCAAUGAAUGUAACCUUUUAUCUGAGGCCAAUAAACGAGACGCCCAUCAGCUUGAUAUGAAGAAGACUUUGGUGAAGAACUUGGCCUCCGAAACAGCUUCGACUCACUUGGAUUACGAAAGUCUGCAAUAUAAGAAUAAGGAACUGAUUGCAGAGACACAGGAGUUAGAAAUACAGGUUUCGGCUCUGCAAGAUGAGAAAAGCGAAAUAAACCUGAAACUUGUAAACCAACGCCGUCAAAAUGAGGACGCAAUGCACCGUAGGGACGCUUUGGAGAGAACAACCAAUAAUUUAAAACAGCAAAUCCAGGGCUUCAAUGAAGAACUCACGUCCAUAGAAUCUUUGGCAUCGCAACUGAAAUGCCAGGUGACUGUUCUGGAGGAGCAGCGGCGACAGUUGAUUAAGGUCAGCACGGAGGCCACCAACAAGCUACUCCGUGAAAAAGACUGGAAGGCUGGCUAUGACGCACAGAGGGAAUACAAAAACGCCCUGGAGCUGAGGAACAAUGAAUGGAAAGAGAAUAUCCUCAGUCUAAUGAACAGUCUCAAAGAUCUUGACGCCUGUAAGGCAAACUACGAAUCAUUGAAGACUGAUAAAAAAGUUGCAACCAGACUGAAUAAAACUCUCAAAAAGCAACACAAGACCCUGGAAAACAAGAUCUCAAAAGAGCGGAAGUAUGUGGAAAAAAACAACGGAAAAAAGUCAGAAAGCAAAACCCUGAUUGGUGGAAACUGCACUCUUCAGUGUCAGGUUGAGGAACUGCAGAGAAACCUUCCGAGAUUGCAAGCUUUGACUCGAGAGACCGCUAGAGAAGCACCUCUGAUGGAGCGCAACGAGGCAAUAAGGUCAGAGAACGAGAUCAAUUACAGACAAUUGGACUUUCUCCCGGGGCAAGUACCCUCCACAUCGCAUGUAGAAAGGGUAAACCAGAAAAAGUGUUGGUUUGAACCCUCGCCGGUCCCGAACCAGACACCCUUACCACCCUUAGGGCUGGCCCAUGCUUCUGCGUCUGAGUCUGCGUGGUCGCGUCAAUGCGCUCGUUUCAAAUCAUGGUUCUAAAAGGCUGGCGUGUGUUGCAGAGCAGUUCACCGCGAGAACAACAGGUGGAGUAACGUGUUUUGGUUGAAGACGACCUAGAGAGUCACGUCUUUGUGUGGAAAACGGACUACGGAUAAUACGACAUAGUAGACGGAGGCAAGGAUACACAGUCCAUACAAUUAUUUAAUAUUUAAUUUCAAGAGAACAGUCAUUGUACAAACUACCUGCUCAAUGUGCAACACUCUUCAGCGUCAGGUUGAGGAACUGCAGAGCAACCUUCAGAGAUUGCAAGCUUUGACUCGUAUCUACAACUCCCCUGUAUCGGAUAAAAAACGCUUACAAUCAUAACGACGGCCUUUUGAGAGAACAGCUCCAUAUAGAGGCCGCUAGACAACGUCUUUGUG
ensembl:lncRNA